AGGUUGGACAAUCUGCUCAAUAUGGCUUAUGGAGUAAAGAGUAGGUUUUCUCCAAUGACCAUUGAUGGAAUGACCAGUUUGGCUGGAAUUAAUAUCCCUGGGCACCCUGGAACAGGGUGGUGCAUAUUUGUGUACAACCUGGCUCCUGAUGCAGAUGAGAGUAUCCUGUGGCAAAUGUUUGGGCCUUUUGGAGCUGUCACCAAUGUGAAGGUCAUCCGUGACUUUAACACCAAUAAAUGCAAAGGUUUUGGAUUUGUGACUAUGACAAACUAUGAUGAGGCUGCCAUGGCGAUAGCUAGCCUCAAUGGAUACCGUCUGGGAGACAGAGUUCUGCAGGUCUCCUUUAAGACAAACAAAACGCACAAAGCCUAAUGAGCUCUUGUCCUCAGUCCAUUUAUAUAUGAAAACUAUACAACAAAGGCAAGUUAAGAGAAACUUUAUACAUUAGUAAAUGUCUUUGUAAGUCAGUGUUGAGAUGGGGAUAAAACGACUACUUAGCAUCCUAAGAAAUAUGUGAGAUUUUUUAUUGCUAGUAUUUGAAUUAAAACUUCUUAAAUAUCUUUUAUGUUUGAAUAUGGACAAGAGGUACAGGGUUUUUACCUGUCACAUUGCAUUCUAUUGCCUUCUUUGAAGAAGGUGGACCUUUUAAAGUGUUUCAGCUAAGGGAAGACAUUUCUUUUCUUUUUACAUAACUGCCUUGAACCUGUGAGUAAAUAUUGAGGCUUUGUGUUGUAAUUCUUCAGUUGGUUGUGUCUUUUUUUCCCCCCUUUUUUUCUUUUUUCUGAUUAGCUUUGUGUUUGGUUUACAUUUAAAGCAUUGCUGUUAUGUCUAAGAAAAGUAUUUUGAAGUUUACAUUUUUAUUUAUGAAGUUAAAAACAGUAUUUAUUUUGUAAUUAUGAUUUGGGUUGGGGAAGGGGGGGCUACAUUAUAAACGCUUAUUGUAAGAAUACUGGAGAACUUUUCGUAAAGCAGUACCUUGCCAAAGAGAUAAGAGCCUCUUUGAUGUGGGUUUAAAAAAAGCAUCUAUUUUUAUAAAAAAGAAAAUUUGGAGAAACUUUUUACUGGUCCUGGAACAAAUAUUUUGACUUGAAUACUUUGAGAAAUCUCUUCAUAUGACACCUAGUGAGCUUUUAAAAUUUACCAGGAAAUUUGCAGCGGUUGGAAAAUUUAGAAGGAUUUAUGAUGUAGGAAAUACUUUUGAGAUCUUUGUGUGAAAGGAAUAGAAUCAAUGAGGGAAACACUGCUGGUUUCAUUUUUGUAAUCACCAGUGGAGUGUCUGAUCAUCCUGGUUAUUAUGUGAUAGGUGGCUCACAUUGAUUUGUGAUAUUGAAACAAAUAAAAAAAAUUUACAAAAGAAUAUAUAAGAGCAGGCAAGAAAUUUAAAUUACCAAGAGAUGGGGGAAAAAUCUGUUCUUCCUAAAGAAAUCCCUUCAGAUAGAGCUCAUGGUGUUUAGUGAUGUACUUGCAGUAUUGUUUGAAGAAUUGUUUUGUCUUAAGGAAAAUAAAAGAUGUUGCACAUGAUUUGUACUGCAGCAAAUCAGUAAAAGUGAUCUGAGUUGGGUAUAUUUGAAGGUAUUUUGAAAGUUACGUUUAAGGCUAACACCUGAGCUUUUGUGUAAUGUAAAUAAGACCUUGUGUUUAUGAACCUUUCAGCUAAUUUGAUUUUUUUUUCCCUUACAUGCCAAGUGAUGUUCAGGUUUUGAAUGUUUUUGUAUCAGUUUUUUCCUUUGUAAAUGGCAUUAACAUUGUUACUUGAGGUCUUGCUUAAUCACUUUCGUUGUCCUGAGGACUUGAAUUUACAGUGCAUCAGAUUUGUUGCUAAUUUUGUCUGUAGAUAGUCUAGCUUCAGCUGUUUAUGGUGAUGCUACAUUUUCGUUUAUAAAUAUGUUUGUGGUAAAAAAAAGAAAAAUGAGUAUAACCAUAGGUUUUGAACAAAUUUCCUUACAUUUUUCAUACAAAAAUCAUAAAUAUCUGUAUGCUAUUGAAAUUUAACUUUGUAUGAUGCUUAAACCACUAUUUGGGGAAAUAAUAAAAUAAGUCUUUACCAUGUAUGAAAGAAAUUUUAAAAAAUACAAAAUAUUUUCUGAUUAGCAUCUAGCUUAUAAUAAAUUUUCAAAAAAGCUGAAGGCAAAAGUUGUCUUCAUCAGGAUGCACUGAGAACUAUAUAGUUACGUCCUGCUUUUUGUAUAAACUGAGAUGCUCACAUGCUUCCCCUUAGAACAGGCAAUGUGCUAUGCAUAACAUAGUUGUACAUUAUCUUUGCGGUUGCUUUGAGUUUUAUUUUUUAUUAUUUAAAAUUGUAGUUAUAAAACUUUUCAGUAUAGUACAGUACAUAUACUGUGAGGCGCGUGCUAAAGUGAAUAAGCGAGUUUUCAUGCUGACCCACUCAAUGCUAUCCAGAACUCAAUUGGCUUAGCACUUUCUCAUAUCCUUAGGUGCAUUUAGAUUGUCAGAGUUAACCUGCGUUUAAAGAAAAAAUAAAAAUAAAAUACAUGUAUAUACUUAAAAAAACAAAAUAAGGUUUCCCUCAUGGGAAAACAGCAGCUACAUGCUUCUUUCCUAUACUACUGUAGCAAACCAAGGCAUUGAUGAGAGGGCAUGCAAAUUGUGCUUCACUUUACAGUGUUUAUCAGAGCACUUAAUAAAAUGUAAGGCUGGUAUUUAUUUGAAGUUGUACAGUAUGACUUAAUUCACAUCUGUUGGAAUAGAAAAUAUAUUCUGUUGAGUAUUUAAGAGGCUGUACAUGUUUCCUUUUGUGUUUGGAUUCUUUGUACUUUUUCAUGUUCAGUACAUCAAUAAACAAAGUUGAAGGGAAA